UAGGGAAUCUUCCACAAUGGACGCAAGUCUGAUGGAGCAACGCCGCGUGAGUGAAGAAGGUUUUCGGAUCGUAAAGCUCUGUUGUUGGUGAAGAAGGAUAGAGGUAGUAACUGGCCUUUAUUUGACGGUAAUCAACCAGAAAGUCACGGCUAACUACGUGCCAGCAGCCGCGGUAAUACGUAGGUGGCAAGCGUUGUCCGGAUUUAUUGGGCGUAAAGCGAGCGGAGGCGGAAGAAUAAGUCUGAUGUGAAAGCCCACGGCUUAACCGGGGAACUGCAUCGGAAACUGUUUUUCUUGAGUGCAGAAGAGGAGAGUGGAAUUCCAUGUGUAGCGGUGGAAUGCGUAGAUAUAUGGAAGAACACCAGUGGCGAAGGCGACUCUCUGGUCUGCAACUGACGCUGAGGCUCGAAAGCAUGGGUAGCGAACAGG
rnacentral:rRNA from 1 species